GACGGAGGAUGCAAGUGUUAUCCGGAAUCACUGGGCGUAAAGCGUCUGUAGGUUGUUUAAAAAGUCUGCAGUUAAAGGUUGAAGCUUAACUUCAAAAAUGCCGUAGAAACUUUUAAACUAGAGGAUGGUAGGGGUAGAGGGAAUUCCCGGUGUAGCGGUGAAAUGCGCAGAUAUCGGGAGGAACACCGGUGGCGAAGGCGGUUCUCUGGGCCUUACCUGACGCUGAGGAGCGAAAGCGUGGGGAGCGAACAGG
rnacentral:rRNA from 1 species